CGCGGCCUAUCAGCUUGUUGGUGAGGUAACGGCUCACCAAGGCAUCGACGGGUAGCUGGUCUGAGAGGAUGAUCAGCCACACUGGAACUGAGACACGGUCCAGACUCCUACGGGAGGCAGCAGUGGGGAAUAUUGCACAAUGGGCGCAAGCCUGAUGCAGCAACGCCGCGUGCGGGAAGAAGGCCCUAGGGUUGUAAACCGCUUUCAGCAGGGAAGAAACUGACGGUACCUGCAGAAGAAGGUGCGGCCAACUACGUGCCAGCAGCCGCGGUGACACGUAGGCACCAAGCGUUGUCCGGAUUUAUUGGGCGUAAAGAGCUCGUAGGCGGUUCAGUAAGUCGGGUGUGAAAACUCUGGGCUCAACCCAGAGACGCCACCCGAUACUGCUGUGACUCGAGUACGGUAGGGGAGCGGGGAAUUCCUGGUGUAGCGGUGAAAUGCGCAGAUAUCAGGAGGAACACCAGUGGCGAAGGCGCCGCUCUGGGCCGUAACUGACGCUGAGGAGCGAAAGCAUGGGUAGCAAACAGGAUUAGAUACCCUGGUAGUCCAUGCCGUAAACGUUGGGCACUAGGUGUGGGUCUCAACCAACGAGAUCCGCGCCGUCGCUAACGCAUUAAGUGCCCCGCCUGGGGAGUACGG
rnacentral:rRNA from 1 species